CAUACCUAUAGGUUUGGUUCCAGCCUUUCUAUUAGCUGCUUAUAAACUUACACAUGCAAGCAUCAACAAACCAGUGAAAAAUGCCCUUAAUGUUUCUAAUUAGAUUCAUAGGAGCAGACAUCAAGUACGCUUCACGCAGCUUAAAAACGUCUAGCCUAGCCACGCCCCCACGGGAAACAGCAGUGAUAAACAUUAAGCAAUGAACGAAAGUUUGACUAAGUUAUAUAAUUUUAGGGUUGGUUAAUUUCGUGCCAGCCACCGCGGUCAUACGAUUAACCCGAGCUAAUAGACUAACGGUGUAAAGAGUGUAAAAUUAUAUUUACUUUAUAAAUGAAGACAAGAUAAAUUUAAGAUGUAUAAACCUACAAAUUUACAUAAGCACAACAACGAAGGUGUCUUCAAUAAAAAUGAUUACACGAAAGCUAGAAAACAAACUGGGAUUAGAUACCCCAUUAUGUCUAGCCCUAAACCCAAGUAACCCAAGACAAGGUUAUUCACCAGAGGACUACGAGCAAUAGCUUAAAACUCAAAGGACUUGGCGGUGCUUCACACCCCCCUAGAGGAGCCUGUUCUAUAAUCGAUAAACCCCGAUAUACCUCACCAACCCUUGCUAAGUCAGUCUAUAUACCGCCAUCUUCAGCAAACCCUGAUUAAGGGAUAAAAGUAAGCUUAAUAAUCAAUUCCCAUAAAAACGUUAGGUCAAGGUGUAACCUAUGGGUUGGGAAGCAAUGGGCUACAUUUCUUUAAUAAAUAAAUAACGGAAAGUCUUUAUGAAAUUAAAGACUGAAGGAGGAUUUAGUAGUAAAUUAAGAAUAGAGAGCUUAAUUGAAACUGGCAAUGAAGCAUGUACACACCGCCCGUCACCCUCCUCAAUUGUUUAAUAUUACUAACUUAAUUAAAAAAUUAAAUAUAAGCACUAGAGGAGACAAGUCGUAACAAGGUAAGUAUACUGGAAAGUGUACUUGGAUGAUA
rnacentral:ncRNA from 1 species